GCGGGAGUGUUUGUAGCUUUUUGGGUGUGCAUAUCUUGGACCAUUUGGGCAUUUCUACCACUUAUUGUUGGAUAAGUUGUUCAAGGGCAAAAAAGACACGACAACAGUUGCCAAAAAGGUGUUGCUUGAACAAGUGACAUCUUCUCCAUGGAACAACUUGAUUUUUAUGCUUUACUAUGGGCUUGUUAUCGAGGGAAGAUCAUGGAUCCAAGUGAAAUCUAAAAUCAAGAAGGAAUACCCCACAGUACAAUACGCAACAUGGACGGUAAAUCCAUAAUUUCAGUUUUUACUCAUAUUUUUAUAAAUUUCUGUUGUACAAAUCUUUUAAAGAAAUAGCAAUUUGUUUUUAAACUAUAUGAGGUACUAUUUUUGAGGUAUUAUCAUUCUUCCAAAGUAUAAUUGCUUGAAUCUUAGCAAUGUAAGUAAGCCUCCUGUUCUUGGAUAGCUGCCACAUCAAGUUGCUUGGAGAUGUGGGGUUCCAGGUACAGUUUAUGCCAAUGGGUUCGUUUUUCAUAUUUGCAGUGCUUCCAGAUACUUGCAAACUUAUAAAAGAGUGGAUAUCUACACGUAAAUUCAGCAAAUAUCCAAUCAAGGUAGAAUGUUUUUUUUUUCUUUUAACUUAUUUCUAAUUAUAUAAGGAUGUGUCUUUUUCACUUUGAGUUGUAUAUUAACUUGGAUAGUUAAAAGUUUAUUUUUUUGUGGACAUCUUCAGGAUAAAGACAAACUGAUUAGAAUCACUUGUUUUUCUCUUAAAUUAACAACAUGAAAUUUGGUCAACUUCUCAUAUUUUUCUUAUUCAUGUUAACAGGGCUCAGAAGUAGCCAACAUAUCCACAACAACUUUCCCCCAAACGUUUGGGAUUUCUUUUUCUUAAUAUGAAAAUUGAUGUUAUAUAUUUAUUUAUUUAUUUAUUUGUUGGAUAAAUAUUGUUCAGGAUGAAUAUGCUCAGUGGAUAGUGUCAAGCCAAAUAAGCCUUCUUGAAGUCAUAGAGGCUUUCCCUUCAGCUAAACCUCCAUUUGGUGUUUUCUUUGCAUCUGUUGCCCCUCGCUUACAACCCAGAUACUACUCAAUUUCUUCCUCCCCUAAGCUAGGACAUAUUUUGAUUCAAAUGACACUGGAUACACAACCAUUGGAAUUGUUGAGGAAUUAAAGAUGAGGACGAAAGUACCCUCCACAUCACUGAGUUGCCAGUUAGAAGGUGGACACAGGAGUAUAAGGAGUUUUUGGAGGUUGCUUCAACUGCUGGAAAAGAUAAGAAACCUUUCAUAGAGUUAGAUUAUUAUACAUAAUUAUAAUAUCCUUCCUUUUCAAAUUUAUUUAUCUCAAAUUUGCAUUAUUUUUUAAUAAAUUUGACAGGGGAAUGGUUUAAGUGAGAUCACAAGUCACAGGUGUCGUACAUAUUGACUUUUGAUCACAUUCACUCUUUUGUUCAUCAGUAUACUUCCUACUUGAUAUCCUCAUUGAUGUUCUUUCUGAAGCUAAGAAAAUAAUUGAUUCAUGUAUGGCUACAAAGGGUUGAUGAAAGCGAAUAACUCUGGAAUUAGAAGAGGAAAAGAAAGCUCAAGCUAAAAGAGAUAAGAUGCUACAAAUGCAAGUGUUGCAUUCUUCAUUUAAAUUGUUAGUAUGAAACACAGUAGAUUAGAUGAAUGAAAAUU